AUGGAUGUUGUGCCUCUCCCUCACAUUGUUCACUUGUAUUUGGCAAGAAUGGAGCCGGCCAAUUAUGUUGGCAUGGCAAUUUCGGCCAGCCACUUUCCUCCUCACUUUCUUCUCUUGCAAGACUUGCCUCUCAACUACCCCAACAAUUAAAUGGGCAGCCACCCAUCCUAGCCAAUCAAAAAGGAGGCAGCCAACCCCCUCUCCCUCUAUAAAUGGCCCUUGGCCGGCCACCUCCACUCCUCUUGCUCUCAUUUUUCUUCUCUCCACUCACUCCUCCACCUUAUCUACUCCCUCACACUCUUCUCCUACUCUCCCCCAUGAAAAUGCAGCUCCACCUAGCUCCCAUGGCCGGCCAUGGCCAUGGAAAGAACUCCAAGAUGAAGCCCCCUCCUCCCUCAAGCUCCUCCUCACCAUGAGAGCCUCCCUCUCCAUCUUCUCCCCAACCCUAGAUGGUUUAAUCUCCUCUUCUUCUUCCUCCAUUGCUAAGAUUGGAUCUUGAUGCAGGUGCAUGUUGGUACAAGCAUGGAGAAGCUUGAGCUAUCCUCAGAUCUGAAGUUCUUGAGCAAAGUUCGUCCAAAUCCUUGCAGUAAUUUCUGCUAUCUUGCUGUUUCAGAUUCUGGUACGAACUUGUAAAAUCCACCAAAUCUCGUGCGCAGAUCCAAAUCGAGUUAUUCAAAGUUCCGCAGAUAGAUACGGAAAAGAUCUACAACUUGGCGUUGGUCUCAUCCUCAAAUUCGUUACGGAUUGUCCGUGGUCAAGAUCUGGUCAGAUCUGACUUUGUCGAAUUAAACCAGGAGCUUGGGAACGAAUCUUUGAGUGAAACAAAUUGGACGCGAGCAAUUCCGGAGAAGAAGAAGAAGUGGAAUUGGACAAGGAUUUUAUUUAUAUUGUUGGGAUUCUUAUUUUGAUAGACUUGAAGAAGUACAGGGACAAAUAAGCCAAGGCAAGCCAUUUACUUUGAUCCAUCGUUCUCUAUGUUCUUGAUUGAGAUCUUGCCAUCCUUUGGUCUCUUGGCUCCUUGUGUUCCUUGGGUUUUCGAUUACUUUGUUUCUUUACAUACUUGCCACCAAGUAUGUAAGGUUCUCCUUGUUACUUUGCAUACCUACUCUAAGUAUGCGAAUUACGUUCAUCGCCUUUUGACACCUCUAAUUCU